rnacentral:pre_miRNA from 2 species
ACUUUAAUAUGCAGUCUCCUUUAGUCUGUCUAAUUAAAAGGAGCUGUGUAUUAGAAGAGA